UCUUAAUUACAGAUACACUACAAGUUCUCCUUCAAAAGGUGGAGACAAUUGAAGCAAGCCAGAGGGAGAUACUCCUUCUGUUGCGCAGAAGCCAGGGAAGACAAAGUGAGGAGCCUGCACUCAACUUUGUUGCGGUACAAUGCCUAAAAGAACUUCAGGAUCUUGAGGAGCGCCUCAAGAUGACCGAGUUCAGAAAGAGAGUGAAGCAGUUAUGAAAUGGAAGGCAGGGCUGGGAGAGAAGGAGGUUGAAAUGCUGAUAGGGGAGACUCUGAAGCAUGCUCCAGCACAGACCAUUAAGGCGCAACUGGUCUCUUCAGUUGGAGGAGUAUAGCUGCUGGAACCACGGCCUUCUUUUAGACUUGUUUUCUUUUUAAAUAAAGUUCUUGCAUAUAACUUGG